rnacentral:lncRNA from 1 species
GACAAAAAGAUGAUCAUGUUGUUAGUAAUCAGCAUUUAUUAGAUCACUUCUCUCCAAUUCUUGAUAACUCCAAAUAUAAUAACGAUUCUGAGUUUAAUAUGCUGUAUUUAAAUUCAAUAGAUAGAGAAAAGUUGAAUGAAAAUAGUAGUUAUGACGAAUUUGUAACAAAUAGUUGGGAAAUGUUUAUGAAACAGGAUACAAUUGAAUCCAUUGAUGUAGAGUCAUUGUCAAUUGAUAGCAGUGAGGAAAACGAACCUGAUAUUGAAAAUGAAAAAAGAGAGCUAUCAUUUGAUUUAGGAGAGUGGGGAGCAUCAUUUUCUAUUCCUAUGGUUGCAGUAUCUUCACUUUUGAUAUGCUUAGAGUGUUGCACCCAUCACUUCCAAAAGAUCCGCGAAUGUUACAAAAACACCUAGAGCAAGAAUUGUCAAAACAAUUGAAGGGGGCUCCUAUUAUCACUUUGGUGUUGUUAAUUGAUUGCAACUCAUAAUUCAUUUGCCUUAUUUUUGUACAAGUCUUUGCUCUGAAACUCUAUCACUUUCUCUACAAAUUAAUAUUGAUGGAUUACCUUUACAGAAGUUAAGUUUAACAAUUUUAGCCAAUUCUAGCAAGAGUAUCAAUCCCAUUUUCAAGUAAUCCAUUUUUGAUUGGCUUGUUUUGCGAUCAAAGUAAAUCAGUUAACUUGAAUGAAUAUUUAAAAGAUUUCAUUGAAGAAACGUUAGAAUUGGAAAAAGGUCCUAUUAAAAUUGAUGUAAAUGGUACAAAAUACUCAAUAAACAUUGGUAUAUCCUGCUUUGUAUGUGGUAUUCCUGCAAGGGCAUAUAAAAAACAAACUAAAGGACAUAGUGGAUAUUACAGUUGUAAUAAGUGUAUCCAAAAAGGGGAAUGGCACAGUAAGGUUACAUUUCUUAAAACUGAUGCUCCACUUAGAACUGAUCAUUCUUUUAAUGAAAUGACAGAUGCUAAUCAUCACAUUAGAGAUACUCCACUUAAAAAAUUGUCUAUUGGAAUGGUAACUCAGUUUUCACUUGAUUUUAUGCACCUAGUGUGUCUAGGAGUAAUGAAAAGGAUUUUGAUGUUUUUAAUAAAAAGCCCUGUUAGUGAUGGAAUAAGAUGUGUUUCACUUAUUUCAUCACUAACAGGGCUUUUUGUUAAAAAAACUGCUUUUCAAUGCUCUAUGUAUUAAAGUGGCAUAGAGCGUUGGAAAGCAGUGAAAUUCAAUCAAUUUUUAUUAUACAGUGGCAUUGUUGCACUAAAAGGACAUCUUUCGAAAUCUGUAUACAACAAUUUUCUUUUGUUUUUUGUUGGGAUACACUGUUUAGCCAGUUCAGAUCUUUAUCAAAGUCAUGCUGAUUAUACGGAAUCUAUCUUACGCGCCUUUGUAAAAAAUGCUAUAAAAAUUUAUGGCAGAGGUUUUAUUAGCUACAAUGUACACAGCCUAAUACACAUUGCAAGUGAUGUAAAAAGAUUUGGAUCUGUUUAUAAUUACUCUGCAUUUCUGUUUGAAAAUUUUCAAGGGUAUUUAAAGCAUUUAAUACAUAAACCUUAUUUACCACUUCAACAGGUUAUCCGGCGUAUAUCUGAAAGAAAUGGAACAAUUAUAAGAAACUCUAAUAAAUGUAUGAAAGAAGGCAUUCCCAGGAAGCUGCUUGAAAAUGGUCCUAUUGUUUUAAGAGCACAAACAGAAUGUCUACAGUAUCAAGAAAUUACUUUAAAUGGAAUUUUUUACUCUACUUCAAAAGGAAACAAUUGCAUAAAAAUAAAAAACGACUUUUGUUUAAUAUGUAAAAAUUUCAUGGUGAUAAUAGGCAUUUUAUUGUUUAUGAAAAAUUUCUUACUAUUGAACAUUUCUUUAGAUAUCCUGCAAAUUCUUUCGAAUGUUUUGGUAUAGUAAAGGUCUCUAAGUUAUCAUGUCAGUAUGAAUCUGCCACAACAGAUGAAAUACAGAAAAAAUAUGUUAUACUACCAUGCAAGUCCAAAUUUGUUUGUAUUCCUCUGUCUAUGAAGGCUCAAAUGCAUAAAUAAUAAACUGGAAUUUUUUUUUUCUUUUUUUGCUAAAUUUUUGUAUUAGCGCUCAUUUGCAUAUCAGUAUUAGUAUUUGGUAUUACUGAUUUUUAUGUUUAUCUUUUUAUUUCAGUUAGUAAUGUAAUAUUUAGUUGAAUUUGAGGAUAAAAUGGCGGUGGUUCCUGAUUGCUGGUUGUUACAAGAAUCAGCUACAUGUUAUUAGCCUCAGGGAAUUGGUGCUAAACAAUGGUCAAAAAUGAAAAAGUUAUUAAUUCCUAAUCACAAAGAUUGGCUUCUUUAUUCUUAUAUAAGAAUAUUGAAAAUUAGAGAUAUAUAAUUUCUAUAUGGUUUUGGAAAGUUUUGAUUAUAUUAUUUUUCAGACUAUGAAAAAUAAUAUAAUCAAAACUUUCCAGACUAUGAAAAAAUAAAAUAGAUUAUAAUUUUCCAGACUAUGAAAAAAUAAAAAAGGCAGAGGCUAAAUCUUUGCACUACACAAAUUUUUCUUCAAGUCGUUCGGAAAUAAAACAUGAUUUAAAGAGGAAAAAUUUGCAAACACAAUGGAGUCCUGACAUUUCAAUUGAGAAAAAGGUAAAAAAAUGAAAAUUCGAAAAUCAAGAAAAAGAAAAAUCAUGUAGACAGUCAACUUCAACCACUUCCACAGAUCGAAUUGAUAAACCUUCAGCUAGUUCUAGCACAAACAUCACAUCUUCAAUUUUUCCUGAUUUAGUAAAACAAGCUGUGGCUGAUGUUGUUCGACCAUAUUUUCAUAGUGUUAUUAAACAGUUGGAGGAAAUUAAGUCAGAGUUAGAUGUGCAGCGCCAAAAGCAAGUUUCUAUUAAUCAUAAUACAAGUGGAAAUCUUCCAGAAAACUUUAUACUUCCAUUAAAAGAAAUUGAUGAACUCUUACAGUUAAAUAGCAUUUUUCUGGAAAAUACUGAAUGUCGAUCAAAUGCAGUUAUUUUUUUGCCUCUAAUUGAAGGAAAUGGUCUUGAUGACUGUUUGAGAAAAGUUGCUAAGAAAAUCUUGACAGCAAAACUCUCAAUACUUUAUAACUUUAGAGGAAGAAAAGGGUAAAUUAGAGUUUGGUUGUCUAGUUGGGGUGAAAAAUGUGAUAUAUGUUUACCAUGUUUUGUCAACUCGUUUUUCAGGAGGUAAUGGCAGUAGUUCAAUGUUGUAGUUUAUUAAAGAAAUCCACUAGCUGCUUUGGCUUCAGGGAAUAGGUGCCACAAAGUAGGCAAAAUAAGAAAUGCACUCAUAUUAAAUAAUAAACACUGACCUAUCUAUCUAUAACUAUGGUUAUUGAAAAGUGUAGGGUUCGAGCUCAAGCUAAGAAGAAGAACUACAAACGCCACAAACGAUAAUGCAUUAAUCACUUCCUACACCACUACAUCUAUAUGUCUAAUACUUACAUUUCACAAAAGGUUUGGUAAACCAGAGCUGAAAGCUGAUGUUAAUGAGCAGUGGCAGAAACAAGCCUGCAUCAGACAAACCAUUAAUGCACCUCUCUCAGAUGCCUUGACUUUUCCACUCCAAGAGAUAAAUGAUCUUCUAGAAAUCAACCCAAUUGCAAGAUUCUGAGUAGUGAUCAAGAACAGUGCAGUAAGAAAACUAUCCCUAAGCGACAAUUAGUCAACCGGACAAGAUGCUGCCAAAAUGGCUAUCAAGUUCAAUUGACAUGGAUGGUCUCGAAAAAAUCGCUAGGAGAGGCGUAGAGGAAAGUUCUUUAGAAGACAUAUAAUUUUUAUAUUAAAUGUAAUGAAGUGUUUUUUAUAAUGUGUUUAUUUUCUUUUUUACAUUGUUAUUUUAUUGGAUAUUGGUUGAGAAUAUUUAUCGAAUAAAUUUCUUUUAUAUGA